rnacentral:lncRNA from 1 species
UCGAGGGCAUCGUUUAAUGAGAAAACACGGUGGGAAGUUCCUCUGUACGCCGACGGAAAGCCGAAACGGUGCAGCGUUCCCUCGGUGUAAAGGAUCCACUGCACCGCAGAGUUCGGAUGGCUGUGGCCAGCCAGGAGCACUGUGGGCAAUAGGGAUUCUGGUUUUCCCCAGUGGGUGCAAGAGCGUGGCCCAGCUCUCCCAUCCAUGAGAACUUGGAGUGGCGUCACCUUGAUUCCAUCUUUUCCACUCCAAAGCUCAGUUUGCUCGGAGCCAUUUUGUGGUGCUGAAGAUGCCUGGCAGCCAAAUUGCUUGGGAUUGGACUCUGCUAUGGGAGGACUGAUUCAGCUCAUAGGUGCUAAAGCCUCUAACGCCAAGAAAUCGUGGAAAUAGCUGAUGAACUGCUGCCCCUUAAUUGAUGUGGGGGAUUAUGUGGCUGAGGAAAAGGGACACGCAGCUACUGUAGAUCCUAAGAUUCACACGCGGUUGUGCUUAAUUCGUGACAUAAGACGUGCAAUGGAUCUGCAAAGAACAGAAUGGUACAAACGAUGAAGUGAUAACAUCACGAUGAGUUCAGUGGUGUUUGCUCCUUGCUCCACUUGUCACUAGUUUGCGUGCACUCCUUGGAGGCUGAUGGAGAUCACAGAAUCAUAUCUUCCUGAUAUGAAAAAGCCCUCUAAGAUCCCUGAGACCCCCAACCCCCCCGUGCCCACUGCCCACCCCUCAGUGCCACAUCCCCGCAGCUCUGAACACCUCCAUGGACGGGGACUGCCCACCCCUGGGCAGCUGUGCCAGCGCCUGGCCGCUCUCUGGAGCAGACAUUGCUCCUAAUGCCCCACCUGUCCCAGCAGCACUGGAUCACUGUGGGACCCAAGUGCAUGUUAGGAGGCAGAUGAAUGAGGCCUCAUUGUGUGGCCACUAAUUAUUGUCUGAGAUGCUGACGUUCUGGUGAUGUAGGUACCCCUUUGCCCCUCCCUUAUGAUUAGAUUUUAUGAGCUCUAUAGGAGUAGAAUUACUGUUAAAACAAAGCAUGGGAGAAAGGGCUGAGACGUGUGAUCCAUGUGCAUCUCAAAGGGCCGCGGGGAAUCACUCUGGAUGCAGUGUAAAUCACAGCACAGGCAUCAUUUUCUUGAAGAAGUGCUGUGUGAGAGGGGGAGAUUCAGCACCCAUUGGUUGUGAUGGGUGGAGAGAGCUCUGUUGGAGGAGUGCACAUAAUGAGGUUUCCUGCAGAGCACAGAGUGAACCUCUAAUGGUGUGAUUUUUCCCUCUGUAGGGCAGGUUGAUCAGAUGUGCAGGCAGUCUGGUUGAUCCUUUGUACAACACUGUCUUUCCUUCACAAAAUUACUACAGAGGAAAUGGAUCAGUCACUUAUUUCUCUUUCUGUCAUGCAGACUUCAAUCUUCUCUCACUUCUUUUGCCUUUCUCACUUCUUUUAGUUUCUCUUUAUUUUAUUUUCUUUGCAAAUACGCACUGCACAGCAGCCAGAGAUGAGAGCACCCAAGGAGCAAUGCUAUGGGAAAGAAGAAGAAAACCUUCCCAGUUCCUGAUUUUUUUUAUUAUCCGUGAUGUUUUUGAGCGUCUUCCCCUGAAACUUUAAUGCUGCCCAAAUCAGAGGAGCUGCCUUUGCUGUGUGUGCAUCCUGCAUUGCGCCGUGUCCUACUUAACAGCACACUCACCUUCAUCAAAGAGGUUGGCAAGUGAUGUCCUGAUUUGGCGUAUGCAUUGAAUAUUCAGCUUCCUACUUUGAUAACGCAGUGAGUAAUUCUGGAAAAUACUGUAAUAAUAAAGAUGGCUUUGAGCAUGUGGCCAAGCACCCACUGGGAUAGCCAGUGCGUGGUACAGCCUCUGCCAUAGUGCUGAUCAGUGCGAUGCCUCAACAGAAGUUGCCUCUCUCAACACUGCGGUGUCCUAGGAGUGCUCUGAUGUACGGUACAAAAAGGAAUUGAAAAAGCAAGAUGAUGAAAAAUGAGUGGAUCCUAUCAAUUAUUUACCCUUCUCAGGGCCUGGGCUACAUUGCAUUAUGCAGAUGUGAAAGCGCUUGUGUGAGAACUUGGUCUGCAGCAAGAUCACUUGGUACUGGGCAUUAAUGCAGUGACAUAAUUCCUGAGCACAUAAUCAGUCAUGGGGGGCCGUGGAGCAGUAUGUUGAAAAGCACCCAUUCCUUCUUGUAAUAAAAGCAUAUUAAGUUUGAAUCAUGGGUCUAUGGGUGGUGCCAAAAUGUGUGCAGCAAAGAAUUUUAGUAACAUGGCUAUGGCAGAUGAGGUUUGAGAUCUUUCGUAUUCUUGAAAAGGGGGUUACGUAUUAAUAUACAAUAUUCCAAAGGCUUAUUUAAAGAAAGAAAAGAACCCAUAGGAAGGCUGAGGGAGUUGAGUGCAGUACUUGGGCCCUAACCCAGCUCACUGUCCUCAGGGUGCAAUAGAAUGUGUGAGGCUGCAGUGACUGAGACCACGUGCUUGUCCCCGGGUUGUCACCCUAACACACUGAUCAUGUUAACACAAAGCACGCCUUCAGCUCGCACUGCCUCUCAGUUUGUUUGCAUUUGCUUUAGACUUUGUAGGCCUGGGUCACCACCAGGGGCGCGUCACUCAGCUGGAUGAAUUCACCCAAGAAGGAAGGCUUGAGUUGAGGAGUUAAGUUGGAGCUGACAGUGUUUCUGGCCAGCAGCUUUGCUUGACUCUCCGGGGAGAAAAGCAAUCGUAGACAAAGCAGCAAUGGAAUUAAUCUGCAACGAAUGAAAGGACUGGGAUUCAAGGACUCUUCUCCUGAUCAUCAUACCCAUGCGCUAUGGGCAGCCUGAAAAGGAGAGCCCAGAGAAAGGAUUUGUUCUGAUGGAUAUCUGAUGGUUGUACCGUGAUUUGUGUUACCCUCAGGAAGACACAGCGAAUUCAUGUGAUAACUCAAAACCCCGCACCAAAGAGCACAUCUGACUGUAGAGAGGAGAACCCAUUCUGUGUUAAUGGGACUGGAUUUUAUGCCUGCCUGCAGAGCACCCAUACUCUGUGCUGGUGCCAGCCCUCGGGUAGCUCUGGGGUGUGGAUGCCUGCAUUGGUGCCCUGGGGGCUGUGCAAAUGGAGUACCCUACUGGACUGCCCCCCCAAGAGCUGAGUCUGCUGCUGCUCCAGAUGCAGAGCGAUUGUGUUUAAAGACUAUAAUCUUGUUGAGGCUCAGAUACUGGAGAUUGAGUCUAUAAUGGCACGGGAAACAACUUCUAUGAAGAAUUGGGAAUUGAAUUAAAUAAUUGCAUUUAUUGAUGAGAAAUUAUAUUUAACAAUGGAGAACUACCUUAAGGUGGCUGUGACCUGAGAAAGCAAGGAGGGAAAAGGAAACUUCAGCAUUUUGGGAUGUUUCAAGUCCUAACGGAGCAAGUGAGGUUUGCUGAAACACAGAGCAUGGUACAGCUGAAGUGAUCCCAGUACUGCCUGGUCCUGCGAUGCCAUGAUCCACACAGCUAAGUAUGGUUUAAGUGCUUUAACCAACCUGAAUUUUCCAUUACUGGAUUACAAAUGCUGUAUUUCUCCCUCUUCCCUCAUUUUUAAUUGACUUUGCCUGUUGCCCAAUGCUGUAUGUUUACAAAAUGUGUCACAGCUCCAAUCAAAAUCAUUUAGCUGGAGCAUGACCAAUGAAGAGCAAGAGUUUCUGGACUCAUGACCAAG